rnacentral:rRNA from 1 species
UAGAGUUUGAUCAUGGCUCAGGAUGAACGCUAGCGACAGGCUUAACACAUGCAAGUCGAGGGGCAGCGGGGCAGGAAGCUUGCUUUCUGCCGCCGGCGACCGGCGCACGGGUGAGUAACACGUAUGCAACCUGGCCGUGACAGAUGGAUAACCGGGAGAAAUCCCGCCUAAUACAGCAUGACGCCGGGAAGGGACAUCCCUUUCCGGCCAAAGGGGGCGACUCCGGUCACGGAUGGGCAUGCGGCGCAUUAGGUAGUUGGUGGGGCAACGGCCCACCAAGCCGACGAUGCGUAGGGGUUCUGAGAGGAAGGUCCCCCACAUUGGAACUGAGACACGGUCCAAACUCCUACGGGAGGCAGCAGUGAGGAAUAUUGGUCAAUGGCCGGAAGGCUGAACCAGCCAAGUCGCGUGAGGGAAUAAGGCCCUACGGGUCGUAAACCUCUUUUGUCAGGGAGCAAGGCCGCCCACGUGUGGACGGAAGGAGAGUACCUGGAGAAAAAGCAUCGGCUAACUCCGUGCCAGCAGCCGCGGUAAUACGGAGGAUGCGAGCGUUAUCCGGAUUUAUUGGGUUUAAAGGGUGCGCAGGCGGAAGAUCAAGUCAGCGGUAAAAUUGAGAGGCUCAACCUCUUCGAGCCGUUGAAACUGGUUUUCUUGAGUGAGCGAGAAGUAUGCGGAAUGCGUGGUGUAGCGGUGAAAUGCAUAGAUAUCACGCAGAACUCCGAUUGCGAAGGCAGCAUACCGGCGCUCAACUGACGCUCAUGCACGAAAGUGUGGGUAUCGAACAGGAUUAGAUACCCUGGUAGUCCACACAGUAAACGAUGAAUACUAAUUGUUCGGGGAGAAUGAUCCCUGAGUGAUACAGCGAAAGCGUUAAGUAUUCCACCUGGGGAGUACGCCGGCAACGGUGAAACUCAAAGGAAUUGACGGGGGCC